UGUGGUUCUUGGGUGACUUACCCGGAACCAGAGAGGAGGGAGCCUGAUUCCGGGGUGGGUCACCCGAGAACCACC
rfam:Myotis brandtii contig178376, whole genome shotgun sequence.